GAUGACCUAAAAUUUAACUGUCAAUCCUAGAUAAGUCAUCCACAUUAUAUUUUAAUCUUUUUCAAAUCUAUCACAUGGAUUAUCCAGACUUAGAUUUUGCUAAAUUAAAAUACAUUGAUACAUUAACUUCUACUAAUUUGGAGGGGUCAAUCCCAUCUUGACUCACACACCGACUUGACAAGUACUUAUUGCACUCAGAAACCUUCUAUUAUUGAAUUAAAAACUCAGUUAGUCUGACAUCAAAGUAUAAUGAGUUACUUGCAAAUCACCAUGAUGAUCU
rnacentral:lncRNA from 1 species